UGUAGCCCUGACUACAUUUCUGCAUUUAAGGGUGCCCAAACAACAGACCAAGAUAAAGUCUUAAUCUGAUGGCAGACCUGGAAUUUAUAACUUCCCUAUUCUCUCCGAGGAGCCCAGCACAACAUACAGCUCACCUAUGCUAUACAUUUUUUUCAAAUACAUGCCCACCUACUUUAAGUAGUUCACAUUGCAGGAGGCUAACUCGACAAAUAUUUCCCUCUCAUAGAUUGGGUAGAAGCUUGAGUGUAAUGUAUUUCAUAGAUAAGGUAGAAGCUUGAGUGUAAUGUAUUGAAAAAACUAGCAGACCUUGGGACCCUUAAGUGUAAAAAAUUAAAACUAAGAUUAUUGAAUUUCCUUCAAGUGAUCCUCUAUUCAGCAAGUAGAAUCCUUUUUCAAUGUUUUCUGAUUGUUUUUAGGAUAAAGACCAAAAGUUUAAUCCUAACCAUGGCUUGUAAGGACUGCCAUGAUGUGCCCUGGCCCACUUCUGUAACAUAUCAGCUGUCCUUUUUCAUUUCUUUAUAUGUGCCAGCCUCUCUUCCACUCCAAGUCCUUACCCCUUUCUCCCUCUGCCUGGUGUGUGCCCUCUAAACUUUGCUGGGCCAGCUCUAACUCAUCCUUUAGCACCAUAAGCCUUUUGUGAGUGGUUAUCUGGGUUUGAGCCCCAGUUCUGUUGAUUUCUAGGUAUUAUAUGACCUUAGGCAAGGUUUAGCCUCUCUGUACAUCAGUUUAAUGUAUAAAAUAACAAGGAUAGGCCUGCUGUAAAAUAACAAGUAAGGACUAUAGAUUAGUACCUGGCUGUUAUGGACUCAAUUCUGUGCCCCCAAAAUUUAUAUGCUCAAGGCCAAAUCCCCAGGAUAUCAGAAUGUGAUCAUCUUUGGAGAUACAGUCUUUGAAAAGACAAGUAAGUUAAAAUGAGGUCCUUAGAGUGGGCCCUAUUCCAAUAUGAUGGGUGUCCUUAUAAGAAGAGGAAAUAUGGAUGUAGACAGGUACAGAGGAAGACUUUGUGAAGACACAGGGAGACGAUGGCUAUCAAUGACUCAAGGAGAAAGGUCUCAGAAGAAACCAACCCUGCCUACACUUGAUCUCGGACUUCUAGCCUCAAAAAUGGUGUUCAACAAACUUUAUUCGAUAUGAAUUUCCCAUCAUGUUUGUGAGAUAUCCACUCUUCCGCCUGAUAAACCCGAUUUAUUCUCAAGCCUCUUGAGACAUCAGCAGCUGCGGGCAGCCACAGAGGUCCUCGAACUUCAGUGUGCAUAUGAAUUCCUUGGGGAGCUCGUUAAAACACAGAGGCUGGAGUCUCACCCCAAAACUACUGAGGCAGAACUCCUGGGUGAAGUUCCGUCAUCUUAAUGUUUACGGAGCUUCCCAAGUGACUCUCAUGCACUCCAAAGCUUGGGAGUGUUGUGAAGUCCCGCUUCUCUUCAGAAGAGACUGUUGCCUACGUCAUUGCAGGCAGAUAACCACCCGCCUCCUACAUGAGAGGGAGGCAAACACUGUACACCAGCACUCACUUGGCAUCAGGUGUCAUAGUUUGGUGCCUUAUGCAUUUUUCUCAUUAAACUCCCACAAAAACUCUCUUGAGGGAACUACUCAUUUCCCCAAAGGAAAUGGAGACUCAGAAAGAUUCAAUCAUGUGCCCAAGAGAAACUGGUGGUGCUGCUGGCCUCCACAGCUGCUCCUGUGACAUCCUCCCUGCCAUGACCAGUGCCUCUCUGUCUCUCUCUGUGCCUCAUUUUCCAUAGUGCCCAAGUACCUGUUGCUGGCCUAGGAGAACUGGGAAAAAUAAAAGUAAUAUGGCCCUUUUCCCUAA